rnacentral:rRNA from 1 species
GAUGAACGCUAGCGGCAGGCUUAACACAUGCAAGUCGAGGGGCAGCGCGGGAUAGCAAUAUCCUGGCGGCGACCGGCGGAAGGGUGCGUAACGCGUGAGCGACAUGCCCGUUGCCCGGGGACAACCGGUGGAAACGCCGACUAAUCCCCGAUGGGAUAUUGUGCCGCAUGGCACGAUAUUGAAAGUUACGGCGGCGACGGAUUGGCUCGCGUCCGAUUAGCUUGUUGGCUGGGUAACGGCCCACCAAGGCUGCGAUCGGUAGGGGUUCUGAGAGGAAGGCCCCCCACAAUGGGACUGAGACACGGCCCAUACUCCUACGGGAGGCAGCAGUGAGGAAUCUUGGUCAGUGGGCGGAAGCCUGAACCAGCCAGGCCGCGUGCGGGAAGGAGGCCCUAUGGGCUGUGAACCGCUUUUGCCUGGGGGCAAUAAGGGCGUCGCGCACGUCCGAUGAGAGUACCAGGCGAAUAAGCAUCGGCUAACUCCGUG